GUAGGCAGGGUGGUAUUCCAGAGAAAAGGUGCUAGAGGGCCCUCGUGGACAUGAGUGUCAUCAGCUGCAUUGGGCUUUAAUUUGGCAGUGAUAGGCUUUCCAUGGAUUUCUCUGGUGGGCGACAGGUCAGCCAGGGUGGGUCUUUGAGGGCAUGUCUCUGGGUCUCCAUGGAGUCGUGGAGUCGGUGUGGCCUCGCAUCCACAGUGCACCCCGUGCUGGUGGAUGGCUCAGGACGGUAAGCAUUCCUCUGCCCCGCAUGAUGAGUGAGGGUGUCUUUAGGAUUUCUGAGUCCCUCCUUCCAGCAUCAGUCACAGGUGCCCCCUGGCAUGGAUUUCUUUGCAUCCCUAGCCAUGAGAUGACCAUGGUGCAGUGACCAAGGCUUGGGCAGGACGGUACCCCAGAGAAAAGGUGGUGAAGGGCUCAUGUGGACAUGUGUGUCAUCAGCUGCACUGGGCUGUCACUUGGUGGUGAUGGGCUUUCCAUGGAUUUCUCUGGUGGAUGACAGGUCAGCCAGGGCGGGUCUUUGAGGGCAUGUCUCUGGGCAAGCGA
rnacentral:lncRNA from 1 species